GAUGAAGAACGUAGCGAAAUGCGAUAAGUAAUGUGAAUUGCAGAAUUCAGUGAAUCAUCGAAUCUUUGAACGCACAUUGCGCCCGCCAGUAUUCUGGCGGGCAUGCCUGUCCGAGCGUCAUUUCAACCCUCGAACCCCUCCGGGGGGUCGGCGUUGGGGAUCGGCCCUUUCACCGGGUGCCGGCCCCUAAAUACAGUGGCGGUCUCGCCGCAGCCUCUCAUGCGCAGUAGUUUGCACACUCGCACCGGGAGCGCGGCGCGUCCACGUCCGUAAAACACCCCAACUUCUGAAAUGUUGGCCUCGGAUCAGGUAGGAAUACCCGCUGAACUUAAGCAUAUCAAUAAGCGGAGGA
rnacentral:misc_RNA from 1 species